rnacentral:lncRNA from 1 species
AGGUAAUAAUGUAUUUAUUUUUGAUAAUUACUCAAACAUACACAAGCUUUAGUUGUUAGAAUUUCAUAUACUCAAAUAUAUAUGACGUCAUAAAGAUUGUUGAAGAGAUAAGGACGUGGAAGGAAAAAGAGUAGUCAUUGUCCAAUAAGAAACGAAAGCUAAUGAAAAUAUAUAAACCUGACAAGUGAUGGAGAAGCUGUCUCCUUCUCUACUUGCUUUCUUUUGAAACUUCAAAAUCAAAACAUAGCCCCACACCAUUACCCACUCUUGACUCUCCCACCACCACACGUGCUUUAUACUUUUAUGUCACGUUGACGUCAUUUGUUUUGAUUGCUUAUAUCGAAGGCUUGCUUACUAUCUAUAUCUAUAUGUGAAAUGUUUUGCUAAUGGUUUCAGAUUUAGUUCCAUUUUUAGUAAGUAUGAGGUUUAUUUCCACAGAUUAUUGUCGGAGUUAUAUAAACAUACGUUCUCUCUUUUUUUUCUAUACGUAAAGAAAGUAAUGAACUACAAGUUUGUCCGUCAGGACGCUUUGCUAGGUAGCUGUGUACAAUUAUUGGUUAGAGAUGUAUCUAAUACGUGGUGUGAAAAUAGAGUGUACUGUACUAUUAUUAUGCACGUAUAUUCGCCAUAUCUAUGUAUAUAUGUUAAUCAUUGUGCUUCAUGAUGAAUACGAUAUUUCAUUAAUUCAAUUUCAAAGUGGGGAACUUCUUGGGAUUAUCAAAGUUUGUCGUUCGACUUUAUCUUUUCUCUUUUCUUUAAAAUCUUUUGCUUUAUAGUUCUUGUCGUUCAAACUCCAACGAAUAUGUGUCGGAAACAUUUUUCCUUUGGUGUAAGAUUUUUUUUCUUGUCAGCUUCCUUUGGUGUAAGAUCUUGAGAGUUUUUAUUACUUCUGUCUUAAUAUAUAGUAUAAUAUUAAGAUUUGUAUUUCAAUUUAUUAAGAAAAAUUUACUAAGAAAUUUGUUACUUUUAUUAUAUUUUAUAUCCAAACUAUUUUAUAAUUGGUUAGAUAUUUUAUUUGAACAUUAAAUAGUGCUUUAAUGUGAUACUUUAUCUUUUUUUACUAAACACGAUUUAUUAAUUGUGUUACAGGGUUUGGACCCAAAAACAACAGCAGGCCUAUUCGCAAAGGCCCAAUGCUUAGGCGAGAGAAGAAUCGGCGACGACGACUGCUUCGUACUCAAAGUAUCCGCCGAUCGUGACUCACUGAUCGAACGUAACGACGCCGGAGCUCCGGCGGAGGUUAUACGCCACGCGCUGUACGGAUACUUCUGCCAGAAGAGCGGGCUACUGCUCUACUUGGAAGAUUCACACCUCACCAGAGUCACGACGAUCUCACCAGAAGACGAAGCGGUUUACUGGGAGACGACGAUAGGAAGUAGCAUCGGAGAUUACCGUGACGUUGACGGAGUCGCUGUAGCUCACUGCGGACGUGCCGUCGCGACGGUGUUUCGAUUCGGAGAGACGUCGUUGCAGUAUAGCAGGACGAGGAUGGAGGAGAUUUGGAGGAUCGACGACGUCGUUUUCGAUGUGCCUGGGCUUUCGUUGGAUUCGUUUAUUCCUCCCGCCGAUAUAUUUGAAGAUGAUAACAACAUUAGUACUCCUGUUUGCAGCAAUGUAAAUUCCCGUUAAAAAAAUGUGGACUAAUUUAAUAACUAAAAAACUAUUUAUUGGCGGGUUAAUUAGUUGAUGGUGAUGGUAUAAUGUGACGUUUGUUUUUGUAUAUUACUUUUUUAUCAAGAAAUUAAUGUUUUUGAGGAUUUAUAUGAAAAAUGUUAUGCGACAUAGUUGAAGGCCCAAUAAAACAAAAGCAAAUGUUUUACGUAGAUAUUAUUGAUGGGCUUUUCUGGAAAUGGUCGGAGCGGAGAUAGUGGUUGUUUUGUACUGUGGCAGAUGCACCCUGGGAUGUGGUCUCUGGAGCUUGUUCUCGGUGGUACUAAACUCAUAUCAGGCUCUGACGGUAAAACCGUUUGGCGCCAUACGCCAUGGUUAGGUACUCACGCUGCUAAAGGCCCUCAACGUCCACUUCGUCGUCUCAUCCAGGUAAUAAUGUAUUUAUUUUUGAUAAUUACUCAAACAUACACAAGCUUUAGUUGUUAGAAUUUCAUAUACUCAAAUAUAUAUGACGUCAUAAAGAUUGUUGAAGAGAUAAGGACGUGGAAGGAAAAAGAGUAGUCAUUGUCCAAUAAGAAACGAAAGCUAAUGAAAAUAUAUAAACCUGACAAGUGAUGGAGAAGCUGUCUCCUUCUCUACUUGCUUUCUUUUGAAACUUCAAAAUCAAAACAUAGCCCCACACCAUUACCCACUCUUGACUCUCCCACCACCACACGUGCUUUAUACUUUUAUGUCACGUUGACGUCAUUUGUUUUGAUUGCUUAUAUCGAAGGCUUGCUUACUAUCUAUAUCUAUAUGUGAAAUGUUUUGCUAAUGGUUUCAGAUUUAGUUCCAUUUUUAGUAAGUAUGAGGUUUAUUUCCACAGAUUAUUGUCGGAGUUAUAUAAACAUACGUUCUCUCUUUUUUUUCUAUACGUAAAGAAAGUAAUGAACUACAAGUUUGUCCGUCAGGACGCUUUGCUAGGUAGCUGUGUACAAUUAUUGGUUAGAGAUGUAUCUAAUACGUGGUGUGAAAAUAGAGUGUACUGUACUAUUAUUAUGCACGUAUAUUCGCCAUAUCUAUGUAUAUAUGUUAAUCAUUGUGCUUCAUGAUGAAUACGAUAUUUCAUUAAUUCAAUUUCAAAGUGGGGAACUUCUUGGGAUUAUCAAAGUUUGUCGUUCGACUUUAUCUUUUCUCUUUUCUUUAAAAUCUUUUGCUUUAUAGUUCUUGUCGUUCAAACUCCAACGAAUAUGUGUCGGAAACAUUUUUCCUUUGGUGUAAGAUUUUUUUUCUUGUCAGCUUCCUUUGGUGUAAGAUCUUGAGAGUUUUUAUUACUUCUGUCUUAAUAUAUAGUAUAAUAUUAAGAUUUGUAUUUCAAUUUAUUAAGAAAAAUUUACUAAGAAAUUUGUUACUUUUAUUAUAUUUUAUAUCCAAACUAUUUUAUAAUUGGUUAGAUAUUUUAUUUGAACAUUAAAUAGUGCUUUAAUGUGAUACUUUAUCUUUUUUUACUAAAC